ACACAAAAAUCUAAAAUCCUUGGCUGCUUAACCUCUAAUGAAGUGGCUAGCCAGUUGGCAGUCAAGAUGGCUAAAUAAACAUUUUUACCCCAAGUGACCUGGCCAGGCCAGGACAGACCAAAGGAGGACCACCAAGUUGACACCUAAGGACCUGAGCCAGUGCUUGAUUAAUUUGUGAUACUGAUGUGGAAAUGAAGUGUGGUUUUAAUUGCUGGUCUGGCACUUUCUCAGAAAAGGGGUUUUCUUUUUGCGUAAGAAAGGAAACUGCAAGUUUAGGGCUUCUGGUUUCGGCUGAAUGGAAAUUUGUGGCUUUUAUUCGUCGUAAAUCUUGGAAGUGCUUUUGCCAGAGCAGAAAUUGGGCUUUAAAUGAGAUGAGCGAGGGACUUAAAAUCUAGAGA